rnacentral:rRNA from 1 species
AUGGCUCAGGAUGAACGCUAGCGACAGGCUUAACACAUGCAAGUCGAGGGGCAUCACGGGAGUAGCAAUACAACUGGUGGCGACCGGCGCGACGGGUGAGUAACGCGUAUGCAACCUACCUAUCAGAGGGGAAUAACCCGGCGAAAGUCGGACUAAUACCGCAUAAAACAGGGGCACCGCAUGGUGAUAUUUGUUAAAGAAAUUCGCUGAUAGAUGGGCAUGCGUUCCAUUAGGUAGUUGGUGAGGUAACGGCUCACCAAGCCGACGAUGGAUAGGGGAACUGAGAGGUUGGUCCCCCACACUGGUACUGAGACACGGACCAGACUCCUACGGGAGGCAGCAGUGAGGAAUAUUGGUCAAUGGGCGGGAGCCUGAACCAGCCAAGUCGCGUGAAGGAAAAGAAGGAUCUAUGGUUCGUAAACUUCUUUUGCAGGGGAAUAAAGUGCAGGACGUGUCCUGUUUUGUAUGUACCCUGAGAAUAAGGAUCGGCUAACUCCGUGCCAGCAGCUGC